rnacentral:misc_RNA from 1 species
GAUGAAGAACGCAGCGAAAGGCGAUACGUAAUGUGAAUUACAGAAUUCAGUGAAUCAUCGAAUCUUUGAACGCACAUUGCGCCUGCCAGCACUCUGGCAGGCAUGCCUGUUCGAGCGUCAUUUCAACCAUCAAGCCCUAGGCUUGCGUUGGAGCCCUGCGGCUGCCGCAGGCCCCUAAAAGCAGUGGCGGGCUCGCUAUCACACCGAGUGCAGUAGAUUACUCUUCGCUCAGGGCGUGUGGCGGGUUCCAGCCGUGAAACCCCUACUUCUCAAGGUUGACCUCGGAUCAGGUAGGAAUACCCGCUGAACUUAAGCAUAUCAAUAAGCGGAGGA